CCUACGGGAGGCAGCAGUGGGGAAUUUUGGACAAUGGACGCAAGUCUGAUCCAGCCAUGCCGCGUGUGGGAAGAAGGCCUUCGGGUUGUAAACCACUUUUGUCAGGGAAGAAACGGCUCGGGUUAAUACCUUGGGCUAAUGACGGUACCUGAAGAAUAAGCACCGGCUAACUACGUGCCAGCAGCCGCGGUAAUACGUAGGGUGCAAGCGUUAAUCGGAAUUACUGGGCGUAAAGCGUGCGCAGGCGGUUAUGCAAGACAGAUGUGAAAUCCCCGGGCUCAACCUGGGAACUGCAUUUGUGACUGCAUGGCUAGAGUACGGUAGAGGGGGAUGGAAUUCCGCGUGUAGCAGUGAAAUGCGUAGAUAUGCGGAGGAACACCGAUGGCGAAGGCAAUCCCCUGGACCCGUACUGACGCUCAUGCACGAAAGCGUGGGGAGCAAACAGGAUUAGAUACCCUGGUAGUCCACGCCCUAAACGAUGUCAACUGGUUGUUGGGAGGGUUUCUUCUCAGUAACGUAGCUAACGCGUGAAGUUGACCGCCUGGGGAGUACGGCCGCAAGGUUGAAACUCAAGGAUUGACGG
rnacentral:rRNA from 1 species